AAUGAACGCUGGCGGCAUGCCUAACACAUGCAAGUCGAACGAACACUUCGGGUCUAGUCGCCCACGACUUUGUAAGCCGAGGGAACCUGAACUCAGGGUUGACCUAACUCUCAGAAAGGGGUACUAACACCGGACAGUGUCUACGGCCCAAAGAUUUAUUGCACUUGGAUGUGCGCGCGUUGGAUAAGCUAGUUGGUAGGGUAAAAGCCUACCAAGGCGACCAUUCAUAGCUUGGUAGUGAGGAUGAUCAGCCACACUGGGACUGAGACGCGGCCCGGACUCCUACGGGAGGCAGCAGUGGGGAAUGUUGGACAGUGGGCGAAGGCCUGAUGCAGCAAUGCCGCGUGAGUGAUGAAGUCCUUAGAGUUGUAAAGCUCUUUUACCUGUGAUCAUAAUGACAGUACCGGGAGAGUAAGCUCCGGCUAACUCCGUG
rnacentral:rRNA from 1 species